rnacentral:rRNA from 1 species
UACGUAGGUGGCAAGCGUUGUCCGGAUUUACUGGGCGUAAAGAGCGCGCAGGCGGUCGAUCAAGUCGCGUGUGAAAGCCCCCCGGCUCAACUGGGGAGGGUCACGCGAUACUGAUCGACUCGAAGGCAGGAGAGGGUAGUGGAAUUCCCGGUGUAGUGGUGAAAUGCGUAGAUAUCAGGAGGAACACCGGUGGCGAAGGCGGGUCUCUGGGCAGUAACUGACGCUGAGGAGCGAAAGCGUGGGGAGCGAACAGG